CAGCGGCGGCGGAGGAGGAAGAGGAGGCAGAGGCUGCGGCCGCUUGGUGUCUUUUCCUCGGGAUGAGAAGAGGACAACAUGGUAGAGGGACCACCCCUAUACCCAUAACCGGUUAGCAACUGUCUUUUUCCUGAAUCUUGGCGCAAACCCUGAAAGAACAUACCUUCAUUUGGUCACUCAACAAGUUUUCAUGGAGUGUGUAUGAGAG